rnacentral:rRNA from 1 species
AUGAGCGAUCUCCUCACCAGCCUUCUUGGUGGCCGCAUAGAGAGACGCGGGUCGGUCCGUCCUGUCAUGCUCGGAGAAAGGCACAUGGGAGUUGAGCCCGUAGACCGAAGACGAGGAUGCCCAGACGAUCGCCGGCUGCGGGUCGGCCGCGCGAGCCGCCUCAAGCAGCGCAACGAGGCCAGCAACGUUCGCCCGCACAUACGACAUGGGGUCAACGAGCGCGUGGCGCACACCUGCCUGCGCCGCGAGGUGCAGGACGUGCGUGAAGGGCGCGACGUCGAACAGCUUGGCGAGGAGCUCGGCGUCGGCGAUGUCGCCGUCGACGACGUAGACGCCCGAGCGCGCGAGCAGCGCGGCCCUGCCGCGCUUGAGGGCGGGGUCGUAGUAGUCGUUGAAGUUGUCGAGGCCGAGGACGCCGUCGCCGCGGCGGCGCAGCGCGGCGGCGGCGUGGCAGCCGACGAAGCCCGCGGCGCCGGUGACGAGGACGGAGAGCCCCCCGCGGCCGCCGGGGCGCCUGACGCGCGCGGAGGCCCGCACCUUCUUCUCCCAGGCGGCGCCGCCCCAGGUGGCGGCGGAGUCGGGGUGGGCGUGGAGGGAGCGGCGCGGCGCGUCGGGGGCGGCGCGCGGGGCGGGGGCGGAGGAGGGGGCGAGGAGGAGGAAGGCGAGGAGCAGCGAGAGGGAGCAGACGGACCAGAAGGCGAGCUUGGAGAGGAGCGAGGGCGGGUGGUGGUGGCGCGGGGCGAGGCGGUGGUGGUGGUAGUGGUGGAACUGCGGCUUGACGGCCGCGGCGCCGCCCGCCGCCGCCGCCGAGCCGGGCGCGCCGGUCAGCUGCGGCGCCAUCUCGAUCUGCGGCAAUGCGGCGGCUGGCCCUCGCUGGAUCUCGGGAUUGGUUGGGGGGGCUCCCCUCCCUCCUGGGUUUGGAGGGCCUUUUUUCCGCUUCCCGUUUUCUCAGGGAUGGUUUCGAUUCGCCUCGCCUGGCCGCAGUAUCGUGCUCUCCUCGGUUCGUUUUGGUUUGUUUGUUUGCUUGCUUGGGGCGAUUUGGUUUGGUUUCCCCUUCCCCGGCGCUACAUUUGA